rnacentral:rRNA from 1 species
UACAGAGGGGGCAAGCGUUGUUCGGAUUUACUGGGCGUAAAGGGCGCGUAGGCGGCAAUUCAAGUCAUCUGUGAAAUCUCCGGGCUUAACUCGGAACGGUCAGAUGAUACUGCUUUGCUAGAGUGCGGAAGGGGCAAUCGGAAUUCCUGGUGUAGCAGUGAAAUGCGUAGAUAUGCGGAGGAACACCGAUGGCGAAGGCAAUCCCCUGGGCCUGCACUGACGCUCAUGCACGAAAGCGUGGGGAGCAAACAGG